UCAAACUUGAGAGUUUGAUCCUGGCUCAGAGUGAACGCUAGUGGCGUGCUUAACACAUGCAAGUCGAACGGACGAUAUUUGUGCUUGCACAAAUAAAGUUAGUGGCAAACGGGUGAGUAAUACAUGAGAAUUUUCCUUGCAGUACGGAAUAACUAUUGGAAACAGUAGCUAAUACCGUAUAUUGCCGAGAGGUGAAAGAUUUAUCGCUGCAAGAUAAGCCCAUGCAAGAUUAGCUUGUUGGUAAGGUAAUGGCUUACCAAGGCUACGAUCUUUAGCUGGUUUGAGAGGAUGAUCAGCCACACUGGAACUUAGACACGGUCCAGACUCCUACGGGAGGCAGCAGUGAGGAAUAUUGGACAAUAGGCGAAAGCCUGAUCCAGCGACGUCACGUGAAUGAUGAAGGCCUUAGGGUUGUAAAAUUCUUUUAGUGGAGAAGAUAAUGACGGUAUCCACAGAAAAAGUCCCGGCUAACUUCGUGCCAGCAGCCGCGGUAAUACGAAGGGGGCAAGCGUUACUCGGAAUUAUUGGGCGUAAAGCGUGCGUAGGCGGUUUUAUAAGUUGAAAGUGAAAGCCUUUGGCUCAACCAAAGAAUUGCUUACAAAACUGUAAAACUAGAGUAUUAGAGAGGAUAGAAGAAUUCCUGAUGUAGGGGUGAAAUCCGUAGAUAUCAGGAGGAAUAUCGAAGGCGAAAGCAUCUGUCUGGCUAAAUACUGACGCUGUUGCACGAAAGCGUGGGGAGCAAACAGGAUUAGAUACCCUGGUAGUCCACGCAGUAAACGAUGAGUGCUAGAUGUUAGAACUAUGUUUUAGCGUCGAAGCUAACGCAUUAAGCACUCCGCCUGGGAACUACGAUCGCAAGGUUAAAACUCAAAGGAAUUGACGGGGACCCGCACAAGCGGUGGAACAUGUGGUUUAAUUCGAUGCUACGCGAAAAACCUUACCAAGUCUUGACAUGUUAGUCGUAUGAUUAGGAAACUAGUCAGUCAGUUCGGCUGGACUAUCACAGGUGUUGCAUGGCUGUCGUCAGCUCGUGUCGUGAGAUGUUGGGUUAAGUCCCGCAACGAGCGCAACCCUUAUCUUUAAUUGCCAACAGGUUAUGCUGGGAACUUUAAAGAAACUGCCAAUGGAGAAUUGGAGGAAGGUGAGGAUAAUGUCAAGUCAGUAUGGCCCUUAUGACUUGGGCUACACACGUGUUACAAUGGUAGCCACAAUAUGAUGCAAUAGGGUGACCUGGAGCAAAUCUAUAAAAGCUACCUCAGUUCGGAUUGUACCCUGCAACUCGGGUGCAUGAAGUUGGAAUCGCUAGUAAUCGCAGAUCAGCACGCUGCGGUGAAUACGUUCCCGGGUCUUGUACACACUGCCCGUCAAGCCAUGGAAGUUAAAUUUUCCUUAAGUAAAUGAGCUAACUGCAAAGAGGCAGUUUACCAAGGAGAGUUUGAUGACUGAGGUUAAGUCGUAACAAGGUAGCCGUAGGGGAACCUGCGGCUGGAUUACCUCCUAA
rnacentral:rRNA from 1 species